CGGAUGUGGGAGGAGUGGGGGAAAGCUUGUGGCCGCUGACACAUACCACCCUGCACUGCUGCUGCACCGCGUGCACCACCCACCUCAGGUUUGCAUCCAGCCAAAAACCUCCUGCCCUCAGAAAAAAACCAUCCAAAGAGAGGACCAUCAUCCUGGGCGAUUUUAAUGCAAGAGUUGGCAAUGACAAUCUAGCAUGGAAAGGCGCACUUGGAAGACAUGGAUUGGGAAACUGUAAUGACAAUGGAUUCUUGCUUCUGGAAUUCUGUGCAGAAAUGCAAGUGACAAUAACCAAAACCCAGUUCCAGCAGAAAAACCAUUAUAAGACCUUUUGGAUGCAUCCCUGCUCCAGACAUUGGCACCUGAUAGAUUACAUCUUGGUGCAUCAGCAUGAUCUUGGGAAUGUCCUGCACACUAGAGUCAUGCCUAGUGCUGACUACUAUACUGACAACUGACUUUUUCACUCAAAGUUGUCCUCCCACUUCAAAGCCUCAGCCCAAGCACAGAAGUAACCCCCCAAAGAAAUAUGAUGUUUUGAAGCUGCAAAAUCAAUCUUGCCAACAAAAAUUUCAAAGAAUUCAAAGCUUGAAAGCCAAAUCCAUGUUGCAGACACCUCACUCAAUUGACUCUGGGAACAUAUCAAGUCAGUAGUCUUGGAGACCACCAAGGAGAUUGUUGGGCUCAGUACUAAGAGAUACCGGGACUGGUUUGAUGAAAAUGACAGACAUCCAAGCCCUGCUCACAAAAGAGGUCCACUCAUCAAGCCCUUCUAGCACAGCCAACUAGCCAAGGGAGAAAGGCAGCUUACUGCCAGGCAUGUAACACCCUUCAGUGGAAAAUGCAUGACAUCUAAAAUGAAUGGUGGUCUAACUUUGAGGAAAGAAUGCAACUAUGUGCUGAUAAUGGUGACACCAGAAGCUUCUAUGAAGCACUGAAAUCUGCCUAUGGCCCCACCUUCCUGAUCCAAAGCCCACUGAGGAGCGCUGAUGGCCAGACCCUACACAUUGACAAAGACUGUCAUGGACCAAUGGUCUGAGCGCGUUCAAACUCUCUUUAGCACUGAAUGCACAGUACAUGAGUCUGCCAUCAACCAAGUCAAGCAACUGCCUAUUAAAGAAGAACUUGAUGAGCAUCCUACACUGGAAGAAACCUUCACUGCUAAUGACCAGUUAAAAAGCAACACAGCCCCUGGAAUUGAUGGCAUUCUACCUGAAGCCCUGAAAUACAGCGGUCCUGCCCUACACUCCAAGCCCCAUGAACUCUUUAUAGCCUGCUGGGAGCAGUGGAAAACUCCAUAAGAUCUCCGUGAUUCUGUAAUCAUCACCCUGUCCAAGAAUUAAGGUGACAAGUCAGACCGUUCCUACUACCGAGGGAUCGCACUUCUGUCCAUCACCAGGAAAAUUCUAGCUAGAAUUCUCCUCGACAGGCCGGUGCCUGCCAUAACAGACGAGGUCCUCCAGGAGAGUCAAUGUGGCUUCAGAGCAAACAGAGGCAUGAUAUAUAUGGUAUUUGUGCUCAGACAAAUACAGCAAAGGUGCUGGGAGCAGAACAAGGGGUUGUACAUCACUUUCAUUGACCUUUCUCAGGUGUUUGACACCAUAAGCCAAAAUGGCCUCUGGAAGAUUCAUGAGAAGCUUGGAUGCCCAUCUAAGUUCCUCACCAUGGUCAGGCAACUCCGUGACAGUCAGCGUGGACAAGUCAAAUACAGCAGCAGGCUCUCAGGUCCCUUUCUGCUCUCCAGUGGAGUUAAGGAAGACUGUGUACUCACCCCUACUUUGUUCACCAUUUUCUUUGGUAUGAUUCUGCAGCAAGCAUCGGACAAGCUUGGGCAAGGUGAGGAAGUUGUUUACAUCUGCUUCUUGGCAGAUGUACCCAGAAAACCUCUUCAACCUCAGACAGCAACAGUCUUACACAAAGACCUCACAACAGCUCAUCUGUGAACAAAAAAGGCAACAGCCUUAUUUGAAUGUCAGUGCAGGGCCAGCAUCAAGGAGAAGAGGACUAAGAGGAAAGAUACACUCUCAUUGAGCAGCAGUCGGCCAUGUAAGUGUACCUGUUGCAGCAGGAUUUGCCUCUCUGCAAUUGGACUGAUUAGUCACCAGUGGGCCUGCAGCCAGCAUGGCCAGUUACCUUCCUAACCUCUUCAUCUGCUAAGAGGAAGAGUAUUCUCUUGGAUACAACAUGCACAUUUUUCCCCAAAAUCAGCUACUGGAAAUUGGGGUGUGCAUUAUAAACAAGGAAAUAUAGUAAUAGCAGUUUCUUUUUCUUAUGCCUCUGUGAGGAUUGGGAAAGCAAGUUAAAGUAAUGCUGAAUGUGCUCUUCAGAGAGUAGCAUAAUGAGCACUCUGGGCUCCCUAGCUGCUGCCACUCAGUUACCUAUUGCCACUGACCAGUAUUUGCAAUGAAAGAUUCUUCAUUCUGCCUUUCAAAAACAAAGUGCAUCUCUUUUUCUGGGAUGUGUUAUAUGUGGAAAAAUAGAGCAUACAACAUUUCAUUUUCUUUUCACCUCUUUGUACCAUGAGUUGGCUCCACAUUCAGGAGAGCACUAAAGCACGUGGGAAUUAAAAGCACAUUAGCCUGGGACUUUUCAUCUGCUGGACUGGGGCCUUUCACCAGGAGAAAGUUGGUGUAAAACAUUGCUGUUUUGAUUUGAUAGCAUUUUAAGCUCUGUUUGCAUGGAUGUAAAUGAUUCUACGGAGUGCAGAACAGUGGAGAAUCAGGUGUUUCAUGCUUUGUUUUGCAAUGCUUUGUGUGUCAGUAUUUUAAGACCCUAAUGCUUCAAAACUGGAAUUUACAGAAGUGGAUAGUCUCACGACAUGUUUAUAUUUGAGUAUAGUGAUUUUAAACUGGCCUCUAGAAACUUCUGUUUUGAUAGUUUGAAUAAUUGGUGUUAUCUAUUAACUAAAAUUAAGUAUGGAAUAAUCAAUACAACUCAAAAUAUGUAAGAGUUGUAUUCACAAAGCAUUUAAUUACAUGGCUGAAGAAAUCUCUCUGAAAAACACUGUGGCUGGUUGUAAAAUUUCUUACAUUUGGUGGGGUGUGAAGAGUAACUUUCUCUGAUAAAAACUGAGACAAAUACACUGUGAUCUGAGCUUAAAUUAAACAGGAAUAAAACAUCUGCUUCUCUUGGAAAAAUAUGUACCCUAGUUGUAAUGAAUGCAACAUGUAGAUGCGUGGCUGUGAUACUAUAAGUCAUAUGACUAAUGAUGCAUUUCUAGUACAGUGUAGUUGAUAAUGAAAAGGAGUCAUUAUCUUAUAGCAAAAAGUGUGUGGGGUUUAUUUUAUCUCCAUAGAAAAUAUUUGAUUUUUUUUUUUCAUUUUUAACACUACCACAGAUUGUGCUGGGGUUUCAUCAUUAAACUCAAAUGCAGCUUUGUUUAAA